AUUGAACGCUGGCGGCAGGCCUAACACAUGCAAGUCGAACGAGUGGCGGACGGGUGAGUAAUGUCUGGGAAACCGCCUGAUGGAGGGGGAUAACUACUGGAAACGGUAGCUAAUACCGCAUACCAUCGGAUGUGCCCAGAUGGGAUUAGCGAGUAGGUGGGGUAACGGCUCACCUAGGCGACGAUCCCUAGCUGGUCUGAGAGGAUGACCAGCCACACGGGAAUGGAGACACGGUCCAGAUUCCUACGGAGGGAAGCGGUGGGGAAUAUUGCACAAUGGGCGCAAGCCUGAUGCAGCCAUGCCGCGUGUAUGAAGAAGGCCUUCGGGUUGUAAAGUACUUUCAGCGGGGAGGCGUUACCCGCAGAAGAAGCACCGGCUAACUCCGUGCCAGCCGCCGCGGUAAUAC
rnacentral:rRNA from 1 species